rnacentral:rRNA from 1 species
UACGGGGGGGAGCAAGCGUUGUUCGGAUUUACUGGGCGUAAAGGGCGCGUAGGCGGCCUCUGCAAGUCAGUUGUGAAAUCUCCGGGCUUAACUCGGAAAGGUCAACUGAUACUGCAGGGCUAGAGUGCGGAAGGGGCAACUGGAAUUCUCGGUGUAGCGGUGAAAUGCGUAGAUAUCGAGAGGAACACCUGCGGCGAAGGCGGGUAGCUGGGCCAACACUGACGCUGAUGCGCGAAAGCUAGGGGAGCAAACGGG